rnacentral:rRNA from 1 species
CAGUAGCCGCGGUAAUACGUAGGUGGCGAGCGUUGUCCGGAAUUAUUGGGCGUAAAGGGAGCGCAGGCGGACAUAUAAGUCCAUCUUAAAAGUGCGGGGCUCAACCCCGUGAGGGGACGGAAACUGUAUGCCUUGAGUGCAGGAGAGGAAAGCGGAAUUCCCAGUGUAGCGGUGAAAUGCGUAGAUAUUGGGAGGAACACCAGUGGCGAAGGCGGCUUUCUGGACUGUAACUGACGCUGAGGCUCGAAAGCCAGGGGAGCGAACGGGAUUAGAUACCCCAGUAGUCCCUGUCUCUUAUACA